rnacentral:rRNA from 1 species
CCUACGGGAGGCUGCAGUGGGGAAUAUUGGACAAUGGGGGGAACCCUGAUCCAGCGACGCCGCGUGAGUGAAGAAGUAUUUCGGUAUGUAAAGCUCUAUCAGCAGGGAAGAAAAUGACGGUACCUGACUAAGAAGCCCCGGCUAACUACGUGCCAGCAGCCGCGGUAAUACGGAAGGUCCGGGCGUUAUCCGGAUUUAUUGGGUUUAAAGGGAGCGUAGGCCGGCUUGUAAGUCAGCUGGGAAAGUCCGCGGCUCAACCGUGGAAUUGCAGUUGAAACUGGAGGCCUUGAGUGCACACAGGGAUGCCGGAAUUCAUGGUGUAGCGGUGAAAUGCUUAGAUAUCAUGAAGAACUCCGAUCGCGAAGGCAAGUGUCCGGGGUGUAACUGACGUUGAGGCUCGAAAGCGUGGGGAGCAAACAGGAUUAGAUACCCCAGUAGUC